UCAUGGAAGAGGGAGAAAGAGGGCCUAAGAUUAGCAGGAAUGGGAAUGUCAAGGCUAUGAUUCAUUUUGGGUCUUCCUGAUACCUCUCAUUCCUGUCAUUCUUAGGCGCUCGUUCCUCUUCUUCUUGGCU
rnacentral:pre_miRNA from 1 species